rnacentral:tRNA from 1 species
GCCGCUGUGAUGGAAUCGGUAGACAUAGUGGACUUAAAAUUCACCGGUAGAAAUACUGUACGGGUUCGAGUCCCGUCAGCGGCA